GCAAGUCGAGCGGGCGAGGGUGGUUCGGUAACUGAGCUAGCGGCGGACGGGUGAGUAAUGCUUAGGAAUUUGCCUAUUAGUGGGGGACAACAUUUCGAAAGGAAUGCUAAUACCGCAUACGCCCUACGGGGGAAAGCAGGGGAUCUUCGGACCCUGCGCUAAUAGAUGAGCCUAAGUCAGAUUAGCUAGUUGGUGGGGUAAAGGCCUACCAAGGCGACGAUCUGUAGCGGGUUUGAGAGGAUGAUUCGCCCCCCUGGGACUGAGACCCGGCCCCGACUCCUACGGGAGGCAGCAGUGGGGAAUAUUGGACAAUGGGCGAAAGCCUGAUCCAGCCCUGCCGCGUGUGUGAAGAAGGCCUUUUGGUUGUAAAGCACUUUUAGCGAGGAGGAGGCUACUUAGAUUAAUACUCUAGGAUAGUGGACGUUACUAGCAGAAUAAGCCCCGGCUAACUUUGUG
rnacentral:rRNA from 1 species